GAUGAACGCUGGCGGCGUGCCUAAUACAUGCAAGUCGAGCGAACAGACGAGGAGCUUGCUCCUCUGACGUUAGCGGCGGACGGGUGAGUAACACGUGGAUAACCUACCUAUAAGACUGGGAUAACUUCGGGAAACCGGAGCUAAUACCGGAUAAUAUAUUGAACCGCAUGGUUCAAUAGUGAAAGACGGUUUUGCUGUCACUUAUAGAUGGAUCCGCGCCGCAUUAGCUAGUUGGUAAGGUAACGGCUUACCAAGGAAACGAUGCGUAGCCGACCUGAGAGGGUGAUCGGCCACACUGGAACUGAGACACGGUCCAGACUCCGACGGGAGGCAGCAGUAGGGAAUCUUCCGCAAUGGGCGAAAGCCUGACGGUGCAACGCCGCGUGAGUGAUGAAGGUCUUCGGAUCGUAAAACUCUGUUAUUAGGGAAGAACAAAUGUGUAAGUAACUAUGCACGUCUUGACGGUACCUAAUCAGAAAGCCACGGCUAACUACGUG
rnacentral:rRNA from 1 species